CGGGUUUUAAAAAAAACUUAAUGAUGAAAAAAUAUUUCAAAGUGAUUAUUUAAAAGAAAGCAAGUCGUGCCUUAAUACCCUUGAUAAGUAACAUUAAAAAUUUUGGACAUGCGUCCUUUUCAAAGUGACAGGUUCGAUUUUGCAAGCUUAAAAAAUCAACAUGUUAAAUAACAGAGAAAUUUCGAAUUAACUGAAAGUUUUUUUUGUUUUUUAAAUUCUGUUGUGGUAGGAGGUUAAUUUUGUAAUAAAUAAAGUUAAUUUUGUAAUACUUUUUUGUCUCGGCGGCCCUGUGCGUACGUACGCACAGGGCCGCAGAGACAAAAAAGUAAAAAAAUUGUUUUUAUUAAUGAGGGAAAAAAUAAAUUUACUUCGUGAUGUGAAUAACUUGCUUUGUUUAUAUUACCAAAGAGUUAUAGUUUUAAAUAAAGAAAUAAAUUAUUUUAAAAUAACCAUCAGGUUUGUCAGAGAAAAGCGCUGUUAAAGAACUUAAAAGGAACUUAAACAGUAAACGUUUAAAAACAGUUAAAAUUUAACAGUAAAAGGAACUUAAACACUGCAGUCCAGCCAGACAGAAGAUCAUGCUUCACUAGCUUUCGGGCACAAGAAGUUCAGCUCAGAUUGGCGCUAUAAAACUAAUUGCAAAACGACUACGGAAAAUUACUGCUGCUCUAAAGCUGUUGCUUUAGCUUUAACCAAAAUAUCGAUUUAUGAUGUGCAGAUAAAAUUCUAUUUCAUCGUCUUAGCGAUGAAAUAGAAUUUUUUGCAAAGCAAAUGAUGGUAGAAAAAUCGCGAUCAAACCUGGA